rnacentral:snRNA from 1 species
GAAUACGAACCGUGAAAGCGU